UUUUUUUUUUUUUUUUUUUUUUGCUUUUUAGGGCCACACUUGCAGCAUAUGGAGGUUCCCAGGCUAGGGGUUGAAUUGGAGCUACAGCUGCCAGGCUAUGCCACUGCCACAGCAAUGCAUCUGUGACUUAUAGCACAGCUCAAUGCAAUGCUGGAUCUUUAAUCCCCUGUGCAAGGCCAUGGAUCAAAUCCGCAACCUCAGGGUUACUAGUUAGUUUCAUUUCCACUGUGCCACAACAGGAACUCUGAGAAAAUGGGUUUUAAAAACUAGAAUUCUUUCCUUCCAAUUUUGUUAAUACAUUCUCUACAUAUUUAUUACAUGCAAAGUUACUAUGAGGCAGUUGUCUUGCAUUUGAGCUUGUUUUAGAAAAUAUAGUUGCAUACUUGGAAGAGUCUCUCAAUCUCUACAAAUUUUAAUUGUGUUUUCAAAUCCUCUUACUCUUAGACUAUUUUUUUUUGGUCUUUUAUUCUAUCAGAUACUGAAAUAAAUGUGUUCCAAUCUUUCAGAAUAAUUGUGAAUUUAUCUCUUUUAGAGCUACCAAUUUUUGUUUUAUAUAGUUUGUCUUUGUUUUUACAUACAUUCAAAUUUAGAAUUUUUUUUUUNUUUUUUGUCUUUUUGCUAUUUCUUGGGCUGCUCCCCUUGGGAACCUCCAUAUGCUGUGGGUGCGGCUCACAAAAUACAAAAGACAAAAAAAAAUUUUUUUUUUUUGGCUAUGGCAUGCAGCAGCUUCCAGACCAGGGGUUGAACUCAAGCUGCAGCAGUGAUAGCACCAAGUCCUAACCAAUGGGCCACCAGGGAACCCUGCCCCCCUUUCUUUACUCUUAUUCUUAGGGGAUACCCUCAAGAUUUAGGACUUUGGGAGAUUUAUCAGGCCCCUCCUCCUUAGAAGGAACUUAAUUCUACUCUUUUUCCCUUUAAUAAAUUUGUCGAAAAACUAUCUUAAGCUUCUUGCCCAAUAUCUGCUUUGAAUUAGCAAACAGCUCUUUUUAAUAAAUAGUUGCAAAUUCCAGAGUUAAUGCCUUAUCUCUAAUCUUAUCCCUGCAGUUUUUCACUUCCUUAGUGGCUCUCCAUUGCUGUUACAAAAAUUAAAUACAUUUAAGAUUUUCUUCCCCCUUUUUUAGUUCUCAAAGGGAAUAUUGGUUCCUACUCUGCCAUUAGCAGUUUUCAAUACAUGGACAUAACUGUUCCUAUUUAAGGAAUAUAGAAUCCAAAAAUAUAUAUUUUAGCCAUGCCCAUGGCAUGUGGAAGUUCCUGGGCCAGGGAUCUCAAACCUGAGCCACACCAUGACCCAAGCCGAUUGGGUCCUUAACCUACUGCACCAAAAGAGAACUCCCCCAACAUAUUUUUUUAAAUUAUACACACUUUCCAAACUAACCGAAAAAUGAAAGUGCGCUGAUUUGCAACAUCAGUCCCAAUUUUUGUUGCUAAGACUUAAGGCAUUCACUCUUUUUGUUAAAGACUUUUUAAACUUUGAUGUAUAUAAGAAAAUUACUCUCGUGUUGUCAGAUUUUAUGGUAGCUGCCAAACUUUAGUAAAAGUAGGAGUUUGACUAAGAGCCUCUCACUCUCAGAUUUCUUCUUUAAUGGUAUGGUUUUUUCCUUUGGAUAAUUAAUAGAACAUUAAGUUAAUGAAAAUUGGUGUUAAGAGCCCAGGGGUUUGUAAGUAAAUGAUUCUCAACCUGUUUAUUCUCAGGUACAUUAAAAAAAAAUGCAAUUCUACAUUACCAAGCAAAAAAAAAAACAAAACCAAACAAAACAAAAAAGAGAGAUACUUGACCUUUUGUAAACACACUAUUAAUCCCUGGGUGAAAGGAAGGCUGUUUUGUGGGCCUUCAUAUAUCUCAAAGGGCACUUGGGAAUUGAUUGAGGAAUGGGUGAUGGAAAAUUAUCAGUGGAAUAUGAGAGCUUAAUCUUAAAUACAAAUAAGUUCAUUUGUAUUUAUAGUAAAACUUUUUUCAAUUUUUUAAAAUUUCCCCACCCAUUUUACAAUAUAAGUUUUUCUUUUUUUCCCUUUAUCUUUUUCUUUUCUUUUUUUUUUUUUUUUUUUUUGUCUUUUGUGUUUUUAGGGCUGCCCCCUUGGCAUAUGGAGGUUCCCAGGUUCGGAGUCGAAUUGGAGCUGUUGCUGCCUACACCUACGCCACAGCCACAGCAAUGCCAGAUCUGAGCCACAUCUGCAACCUAUACCACAGCUCACAGCAAUGCCGGAUUCUUAAUCCACUGAGCAAGGCCAGGGAUGGAACCCACAACCUCAUUGUUCCUAGUCAGAUUCGUUUCCACUGCACCACAAUUGGAACUCCCUGAACAAAUGUAUUUCUUUUGUCACACCUGUGGCAUGACAGGAAUCAAACCUGCAACACAGCUGUACUAGAGCCACAGUAGUGACAUCUGUAGCCUGCUGACCUACGAGGGAACUCCCUAAAUGUAUUUUAACACACACAUGUGCACACACAUAAAACUGUGUAAAUGUGACUUUUUAAAUGUAAUACAUUUUAUCUCUUGAAUUUUGUACUUUCCUCCACUCUUUGCAACUCUAGCCAUCAGUGAUCUAUCAACAGAUAAGCAAUGCUGAAGAACUCCCCACAUUUUUCUUUUUACUCAUAAUCACAUAUAGACACAAUAAUAUGUUAUCUGUGCACAUAUAUAUGACUAUUUCCAUUGUCUUAAAAUGGGAUUGUAUUAUACACACAUUUUUGCAUUUUUUUGCACUCAGUCAUACUUUUAACCAUCUAAAGAGUCCAUGGUUUGGACAUGCCGUAAUUUGUUCAACCACUUUGCCACUGCCUAUUCACAUUUCCUAGUGACGAAAUGUCUGAUAACCGUCUUGAAGAGGUGGCAUAGCACCAUGGCUAGUAGACAGACAUAAUCAUGCCCUUACCUACUGGAGCUUUUUUUCUCCCCCCUGUAAUAUACUUUUUAGGAGACAGAUGGAUUGGAUUGUGUUUUUUUAUUUUAAUAGUGGUUGCCAGAUUUCUCUGAAAUAAGAUAGCAUUUCAUAUUUUUAAUAUUAGUAUAAAAAUGUACCCUUCCCUCUAUUAAAAAUAGAUGUUACUUUGACCUUGAGGAGUUUUAUGAUUUCAGAAUGAUAACUAAGUUUAUUUUAAUCACAUAUAUUUAUAUGCCUCUUUAAGUAUUACUUGGCCCCUUUGGUAAUCUCCAAGUUGCUUUUAUGAAUGAUAUAUUUUUUCUUUUUGGAUUGUCUUAUCAAUUUUCAUCAGCUUUUUAUAUAUUAAAGGUAGUAACUACU
rnacentral:lncRNA from 1 species